rnacentral:tRNA from 1 species
GCAGCUGUCGGGCGGGAUGCAGCAGCGCGUGAGCAUCGCGCGGGCGCUGGCGUUCGACCCGCCGCUGCUGUUC